UACGGAGGGGGCUAGCGUUGUUCGGAAUUACUGGGCGUAAAGCGCACGUAGGCGGCUUUGUAAGUUAGAGGUGAAAGCCCGGGGCUCAACUCCGGAACUGCCUUUAAGACUGCAUCGCUUGAAUCCAGGAGAGGUGAGUGGAAUUCCGAGUGUAGAGGUGAAAUUCGUAGAUAUUCGGAAGAACACCAGUGGCGAAGGCGGCUCACUGGACUGGUAUUGACGCUGAGGUGCGAAAGCGUGGGGAGCGAACAGG
rnacentral:rRNA from 1 species